UAGGGAAUCUUCCGCAAUGGACGAAAGUCUGACGGAGCAACGCCGCGUGAGUGAAGAAGGAUUUCGGUUCGUAAAACUCUGUUGUUAGGGACGAAAAAAUGUAUAGUAACUAUAUACAAAAGAGACGGUACCUAACCAGAAAGCCACGGCUAACUACGUGCCAGCAGCCGCGGUAAUACGUAGGUGGCAAGCGUUGUCCGGAAUUAUUGGGCGUAAAGCGCGCUCCGGUGGUUUAGAAAGUCUGAUGUGAAAGCCCACGGCUCAACCGUGGAGAGUCAUUGGAAACUAAUAAACUUGAGUGCAGGAGAGAAAAGUGGAAUUCCGAGUGUAGCGGUGAAAUGCGUAGAGAUUAGGAGGAAAACCGGUGGCGAAAGCGGCUUUUUGGCCUGCAACUGACACUGAGGCGCGAAAGCGUGGGGAGCAAACAGG
rnacentral:rRNA from 1 species